UGAGCUCGCCAGACAGUCGCCGCCGGUGUCACCGGGGGAGGAAAGUCCGGGCUCCGCAGGGCAAGGUGCCAGGUAACGCCUGGGCGGCGUGAGCCGACGGAAAGUGCAACAGAAAGUAUACCGCCUAAGCGCCUUUGGCGCCGGUAAGGGUGAAACGGUGCGGUAAGAGCGCACCGCGUGGCUGGCAACAGUCCACGGCGAUGGUAAACCCCACCUGGAGCAAGACCAAAUAGGAAUCCAAUGGCGUGGCCCGCGCUGGAUUCGGGUAGGUUGCUUGAGGCCUGUGGUGACGCAGGCCCUAGAUGAAUGACUGUCCACGACAGAACCCGGCUUAUCGGCGAGCUCACUCC
rnacentral:RNase_P_RNA from 1 species